UAAAAUCUGCCAGCCCAGAGAUACUCUGAAACAUGGGAAGGCCCGGAGAGGAAAUCUAGUGUGCUAUUGGUAAAUUUUUUUUGGACGCUGUUUACGUUUGAACUUUUCUGUUUUCCUGUCGACACUUCCGUACCCUCUUCCUGAGUCACCACGAAGGCCUGGACAAUGCAGUCCCAGCACUGCGGUCGGACAUGGGCAGGGCCCCACUUCCUCCUUCCUGCAGGGAUAUCCUUUCCUAUAGAAGAGAUGAUGUAUUCAAUAACCACAAGCUAGGGGGGACAUUUCUGUUUACCCUGAUACAAAUGUGUCCUGCAAGAAUGUGAAGGAAAGGUGGUCCCCCAGGAUCGAAAAUGAGUCCAUGAGUCCGUUUUAAGAGGAGACCUUUGGGUGUGACCACUGUUUGCUGCCCCAUGGAGGCCCUUGGAGGAACGAAAUCCUUUGCCCGGAGUUCACAUAAACCAGAAGUUUCCACUUACAACUGCCUGUCAGGAGAGAAAAAGAGAGAGAAGAAGAAGAGGAGGAGGAGGAAGAGAAGGAGGAAGAGGAAGAGGA